CUCUGAUCCCUGUCAUGUCUCUGUGUCUCUGAUCUCCAGGUUGGACAGUAACAGACUGACCGAUGGCUGCACUGAUGCUCUGGUCUCCGCUCUCAGUACAAACCGCUCACUGAGGAUCCUGGACCUGAGGUCUAACUCCUUCACAGACGGCUCUGUCUCCGCUCUCCGCCGCCUCAUACAGACCUGCACCAGUCUGGAGAGGAUCAGGCUGUGGGGGAAUGGGUUCAGUUCAGACGGAGAGAAUCAGCUGCGGUCACUGCGGGGAAUCAGAGCUGAGC